rnacentral:tRNA from 1 species
GCAGAAUUAGUUCAAAUGGAUAGAGCAGCAACCUACGAAGUUGUUUGUUAGGGGUUCGAAUCCCUUAUUCUGCACCA